rnacentral:tRNA from 1 species
GGAGAGGUAGCUCAGAGGUUAAGAGCACUGGGAUGCUCUUCCAGAAGUCCCGAGUUCAAUUCUCAGCAACCACA